AUUUCCAUGGUUUAAUGUAUAUCGAAUUCAUUUGAAUGCCAUUAAAAUUUUAUUUCAAAUUUUGUUAGUCAGCUUAAGUGUUUCAGGAAAAAUGAAAUUUUCUACCAUUAUCUGGUUGACACUGGGAAUUGAAUGUGCAUUGAAAAUUGAAAUAGUGGACUGCAGAAUGUCGGGGAAGUCAACUGGACAUUUUUGGAAUCCGUAUGAGCGUGGAGAAUACUGUGUUCCACAGAUUGCCAAAUCAGAGUUAAUCGAAUUCUUUAUUUUUGGUGCUACCAGAGUAAUUGUGAAACGGAUUGAAGAAGCUAAUAAAGGCAAACCGCUGGAAACCCGUUAUGUGCAACUAAUAAGCACUCUAAUGAUGGAAGAAUUGUUAUCAGGAAAAAGUAUUCCAGAUACGCUAGAAAUUCUUUUUAAUUGGUGUAUUAUAAAAAAUCAACAAGCAGCAACAAGAAGAACUACAACAAGUGCAAAGGCAACAACCAAAACAGCAUCAGAAGGCGGCACAGGAGAAUCAAAUGGCACAACAGUCCCUGGUGGCUCCGUAUCCAAAGGAACCACAACAACCAUUGCACCAGGCGGUUCAGGAUCAAAUGGUAUCAAAGGAUGUCCUCCUAGUAAUGAGACAAAUACUGAAAGCUUCUUAUGUUUGAUGGAAUUAAGCUCAUUAAAGUGCUAUAAAUAUAUCUAUGAUCGCAACGACGAUAUAUCUGUAGAAGAUCGCUCAAAUUGAUAACGAAGAACAAGUUCAUUCGAAUUUGAAACUAGCAAUAAUGCCUUAAAAAUAAAUGUUAACAAAACCAGGUAA